rnacentral:rRNA from 1 species
GACGAACGCUGGCGGCGUGCCUAAUACAUGCAAGUGGGACGCAAGGAAACACACUGUGCUUGCACACCGUGUUUUCUUGAGUCGCGAACGGGUGAGUAACGCGUAGGUAACCUGCCUAUUAGCGGGGGAUAACUAUUGGAAACGAUAGCUAAUACCGCAUAAUAUUAAUUAUUGCAUGAUAAUUGAUUGAAAGAUGCAAGCGCAUCACUAGUAGAUGGACCUGCGUUGUAUUAGCUAGUUGGUAAGGUAAGAGCUUACCAAGGCGACGAUACAUAGCCGACCUGAGAGGGUGAUCGGCCACACUGGGACUGAGACACGGCCCAGACUCCUACGGGAGGCAGCAGUAGGGAAUCUUCGGCAAUGGACGAAAGUCUGACCGAGCAACGCCGCGUGAGUGAAGAAGGUUUUCGGAUCGUAAAGCUCUGUUGCAAGUCAAGAACGUGUGUGAGAGUGGAAAGGU